rnacentral:rRNA from 1 species
AGAGUUUGAUCAUGGCUCAGAAUGAACGCUGGCGGCGUGCCUAACACAUGCAAGUCGAGCGAGAAAGCUCCUUCGGGAGUGAGUACAGCGGCGGACGGGUGAGUAACGCGUGAGAAUCUACCCUUUAGUGAAGAAUACCUUCGAGAAAUCGAAGUUAAUGCUGCAUACGUCCCUUCGGGGAGAAAGAUGGCCUCUUUGCUGUCGCUAAAGGAUGAGCUUGCGUACUAUUAGCUAGUUGGUGGGGUAAAGGCCUACCAAGGCGAUGAUGGUUAGCCGACCUGAGAGGGUGAUCGGCCACACUGGAACUUAGACACGGUCCAGACUCCUACGGGAGGCAGCAGUGAGGAAUAUUGCGCAAUGGGCGAAAGCCUGACGCAGCAACGCCGCGUGAAGGAUGACGGUCUUCGGAUUGUAAACUUCUGUUAAGUGGGAAGAAAAAUCCGUCUCUAAUACAGACCGGUUGACGGUACCAUUAGAGAAAGCACCGGCUAACUCGUGCCAGCAGCCGCGGUAAUAC